rnacentral:rRNA from 1 species
CACGUAGGGGGCAAGCGUUGUCCGGAUUUAUUGGGCGUAAAGAGCUCGUAGGCGGUUCGAUAAGUCGGGUGUGAAACCUCCAGGCUCAACCUGGAGACGCCACCCGAUACUGUCGUGACUAGAGUCCAGUAGGGGAGCGUGGAAUUCCUGGUGUAGCGGUGAAAUGCGCAGAUAUCAGGAGGAACACCGAUGGCGAAGGCAGAUCUCUGGGCCGUAACUGACGCUGAGGAGCGAAAGCGUGGGGAGCGAACAGG